CCCGCCAAUUCCUUUAAGUUUCUCUGGUUGAUCCUGCCGGCGGCACCGCUCUUGGAAUCCGACUAAGCCAUGCGAGUCGAGAGGGUUCGGCCCUCGGCGCACCGCUCAGUAACACCUGGAUAACCUACCCUGGAGUGGGGGAUAAUCUCGGAAACCUGAGAAUAAUACCCCAUAGGCCUUUGGUACUGGAAUGUUCUUAGGCCCAAAGUUACGGCGCUCCAGGAUGGGUCUGCGGCCUAUCAGGUAGUAGUGAGUGUAAAGGACUCACUAGCCGACAACGGGUACGGGCCAUGGGAGUGGUAGCCCGGAGAUGGAUUCUGAGACACGAAUCCAGGCCCUACGGGGCGCAGCAGGCGCGAAAACUUCGCAAUGCGCGAAAGCGCGACGAGGGGAUUCCAAGUGCAUGCACUUAGUGCAUGCUGUUUGCUAGUCCAAAUAGCUAGUAGAGUAAGGGCUGGGUAAGACUGGUGCCAGCCGCCGCGGUAAUACCGGCGGCUCGAGUGGUGGCCACUAUUACUGGGCUUAAAGCGUUCGUAGCUGGUCUGUUAAGUCUCUGGGGAAAUCUACUGGCUUAACCAAUAGACGUUUCAGGGAUACUGGCAGACUAGGGACCGGGAGAGGUGAGAGGUACUCCAGGGGUAGGAGUGAAAUCCUGUAAUCCUUGGGGGACCACCUGUGGCGAAGGCGUCUCACCAGAACGGCUCCGACAGUGAGGGACGAAAGCUGGGGGAGCAAACCGGAUUAGAUACCCGGGUAGUCCUAGCCGUAAACGAUACUCGCUAGGUGUCGGCCACGGUGCGACCGUUGUCGGUGCCGUAGGGAAGCCGUGAAGCGAGCCACCUGGGAAGUACGGCCGCAAGGCUGAAACUUAAAGGAAUUGGCGG
rnacentral:rRNA from 1 species